GUCUGCUGUGGAAACGCAACGCUUAACGUUGCGCGUGCAGUGGGUACGGGCUGACUAGAGUGCAGUAGGGGAGUCUGGAAUUCCUGGUGUAGCGGUGAAAUGCGCAGAUAUCAGGAGGAACACCGGUGGCGAAGGCGGGACUCUGGGCCGUAACUGACACUGAGGAGCGAAAGCAUGGGGAGCGAACAGGAUUAGAUACCCUGGUAGUCCAUGCCGUAAACGUUGGGCACUAGGUGUGGGGGACAUUCCACGUUCUCCGCGCCGUAGCUAACGCAUUAAGUGCCCCGCCUGGGGAGUACGGUCGCAAGGCUAAAACUCAAAGGAAUUGACGGGGGCCCGCACAAGCGGCGGAGCAUGCGGAUUAAUUCGAUGCAACGCGAAGAACCUUACCAAGGCUUGACAUACACCGGAUUGGGCUGGAAACAGUCUUUCCCUUUUGGGGCUGGUGUACAGGUGGUGCAUGGUUGUCGUCAGCUCGUGUCGUGAGAUGUUGGGUUAAGUCCCGCAACGAGCGCAACCCUCGUUCUAUGUUGCCAGCACGUGAUGGUGGGAACUCAUAGGAGACUGCCGGGGUCAACUCGGAGGAAGGUGGGGAUGACGUCAAAUCAUCAUGCCCUUUAUGUCUUGGGCUUCACGCAUGCUACAAUGGCUGGUACAGAGAGAUGCGAGACCGUGAGGUUUGAGCGAAUCCCUUAAAGCCAGUCUCAGUUCGGAUCGUGGUCUGCAAUUCGACUACGUGAAGUCGGAGUCGCUAGUAGUCGCAGAUCAGCAACGCUGCGGUGAAUACGUUCCCGGGCCUUGUACACACCGCCCGUCAAGUCACGAAAGUCGGUAACACCCGAAGCCGGUGGCCCAACCCUUGUGGAGGGGGCCGUCUAAGGUGGGACUGGCAAUUGGGACUAAGUCGUAACAAGGUAGA
rnacentral:rRNA from 1 species